rnacentral:rRNA from 1 species
AAGAUCGGUACGGGCACUGAGAGGUGGAGCCCGGAGAUGGGGGCUGAGAAACGGCCCCAGGCCCUACGGGGUGCAGCAGGCGCGAAAACUCCGCAAUACGCGAAAGCGUGACGGGGGGACCCCAAGUGUCAUGCCUUUGGGUAUGACUUUUGCAGAGUGUAAAAAGCUCUGCGAAUAAGAGCUGGGUAAGACCGGUGCCAGCCGCCGCGGUAACACCGGCAGCUCGAGUGGUGGCCGCUAUUAUUGGGCCUAAAGCGUCCGUAGCCGGCUCGGUAAGUCCUUGGGAAAAUCCGCUCGUUCAACGGACGGGACCCUGAGGAUACUGCCGAACUUGGGAACGAGAGAAGUCGGAAGUACUCCUGGGGUAGCGGUGAAAUGCUGUAAUCCUAGGGGGACUACCAGUGGCGAAGGCGUCCGACUAGAGCGGGUCCGACGGUGAGGGACGAAAGCCAGGGGAGCGAACGGGAUUAGAUACCCCGGUAGUCCUGGCCGUAAACGCUGUGGGCUAGGUGUUGCACGCUCUACGGGGGCGUGCAGUGCCGAAGAGAAGUUGAUAAGCCUACCGCCUGGGAAGUACCGUCGCAAGGCGGAAACUUAAAGGAAUUGGCGGGGGAGCACCACAAGGGGUGAAGUCUGCGGUUCAAUUGGAUUCAACGCCGGAAAUCUCACCGGGAGCGACGGCAGGAUGAAGGCCAAGCUAACGACUUUGCUGGACGAGCCGAGAGGAGGUGCAUGGCCGUCGUCAGCUCGUACCGUGAGGCGUCCUGUUAAGUCAGGCAACGAGCGAGACCCGUGCCCUUAGUUGUCAGCGAAUCCCUGCGGGGAUGACGGUCACACUAGGGGGACCGCUUGCGACAAGCAAGAGGAAGGAGCGAGCGACGAUAGGUCAGUAUGCCCCGAAUCUCCCGGGCUACACGCGGACUGCAAUGGCCGGGACAAAAGGUCCCGACUUCGAAAGAAGGAGGAAAUCCUCAAACCCGGUCGUAGUUCGGAUUGAGGGCUGAAAUUCGCCCUCAUGAAGCCGGAAUCCCUAGUAAUCGCGUGUCAUUAUCGCGCGGUGAAUAUGUCCCUGCUCCUUGCACACACC